AAAAGAGAGAGGACUGGCGCUGCUAUACUGCAAGUCGAACGCUUUGUCUUUAACUGAUCUGACGAGCUUGCUCUGAUUUGAUUUUAUCUGACAAAGAGUGGCGAACGGGUGAGUAACACGUGGGUAACCUACCUCUUAGCAGGGGAUAACAUUUGGAAACAAGUGCUAAUACCGUAUAAUACCAACAACCGCAUGGUUGUUGGUUGAAAGAUGGUUCUGCUAUCACUAAGAGAUGGACCCGCGGUGCAUUAGCUAGUUGGUAAGGUAACGGCUUACCAAGGCAAUGAUGCAUAGCCGAGUUGAGAGACUGAUCGGCCACAAUGGGACUGAGACACGGCCCAUACUCCUACGGGAGGCAGCAGUAGGGAAUCUUCCACAAUGGGCGCAAGCCUGAUGGAGCAACGCCGCGUGUGUGAUGAAGGGUUUCGGCUCGUAAAACACUGUUAUAAGAGAAGAACGGCACUGAGAGUAACUGUUCAGUGUGUGACGGUAUCUUACCAGAAAGGAACGGCUAAAUACGUGCCAGCAGCCGCGGUAAUACGUAUGUUCCAAGCGUUAUCCGGAUUUAUUGGGCGUAAAGCGAGCGCAGACCGUUAUUUAAGUCUGAAGUGAAAGCCCUCAGCUCAACUGAGGAAUGGCUUUGGAAACUGGAUGACUUGAGUGCAGUAAAGGAAAGUGGAACUCCAUGUGUAGCGGUGAAAUGCGUAGAUUUAUGGAAGAACACCAGUGGCGAAGGCGGCUUUCUGGA
rnacentral:rRNA from 1 species